rnacentral:lncRNA from 1 species
GUUCUGGGGUCGCCCCCACGGCGGCGCGGCGGAGCUCAGCCUCGAUCUCGCGAAACCGAGCGAGACUACGGAAGGCCGAAGGAUUGGGCUCAGCAUUGCUUGGGCUAAAGGCUGACUAGGGCUUCCAGGAAGUGAUGCUUGAGUGCAGUGGCACGAUCUUGGCUCACUGCAACCUCCACCUCCCGAGUUCAAGCGAUUCUCCUGCCUCACCCUCCUGAGUAGCUGGGACUACAGGCCUGCGCCACCACACCUGGCUAACUUCUGAAUAUCAAGCUGAAAUUACUAUCAGAUAUCUUGCCACCACAUAGAGGCUUUGAGUGAAGUCUGCAUGGAGGAGAACAGAGCUGAGAGAUGGAAAGAUACUGAAUCCCAGUGACGUCCUUUGAGAUGUCGGAUCAAGCUGAGCUGGGCAUGAAGAUAGAGCUACUCCUAUACUUUUAAGAUACUCUACCACUCACAGAAACUACCUUUUAGUGCAACCACGGUGGAACCCUGCCAUAGUAUCUCUAGCAAUAACAAGCAAGAUUCAGAAGUCCAACAAGUAAGACAUUGAUUUCAUUAAGAGAGAACUAGUAAGCAAGCUAUUUGGGAAGUACACUCUCAUAAGAAUAUUGUUUCAUGAAGUCUUGAGCAACAAAGGAAAUAGUCCAUGAAGUGCACUGCUGUCAGACUCCCUCUAAGAAUACUUCAACUGCUCAUGAAGCGGGGGGCCUUAACUAUUUACUUCUUUUGGAAGCCUCCAUCUGGCCCAUCUAUCUUUAUUCUCCCAGGAUCACAGCCCUUUGCGUCAUGCCAAGGAAGCCUUGGAAUAUUUUGUUUCUGAGGCCAAGUUUCAUUGGCCUGUCAAGGGAUAAUCCUUCAUCUGGGAAAAGAAAUGGACAUGGAGCUACUGCACACAAGGUUUGGGGUGUUUUUCUCUUAAGAAAUAUAAACAUUAAACACGGGAAGUAACGAGAACAUGAAGCGUUCUUCAGAUUCUGCACAUCUUGCCCCACAUCAUAAGAUUUUCUGCUUGCUGCUGAAUCAUUUCUAUUGGAGGAAAGUGUAAUGCACAUUUCACUGCCCCAAAUAAAACCGGAAAAGUAGCAUUUGUAUAUUGUCACUAACAAUCACGUUCUGUGCGAAAGAGUGAGGAAGAUCAUCUCAGCUCCAGUGAAGCACUAACUGUGAACAAGCCCUUCUUUGUCCAUCUCUCCUGUAAUUAGAUGUGGGUCAGGGGUUGCCACUGUUGGGAAAUUUGAAACAAUAAAAGAAAAGGACUCUCACAAGAAAGGGCCAUGCAAACAGUGUGAGUGAUAUUUGAUUAUGUGUCAAUAUUGUUUUGAAUAGAAAACAAAAAUUAUUGAAAAACCA